rnacentral:rRNA from 1 species
GACGAACGCUGGCGGCGUGCCUAAUACAUGCAAGUCGAGCGCAGGAAGUCAUCAGAACCCUUCGGGGGGACGUUGACGGAAUGAGCGGCGGACGGGUGAGUAACACGUAAAGAACCUGCCCUCAGGUCUGGGAUAACCACGAGAAAUCGGGGCUAAUACCGGAUGGGUGAUCGGACCGCAUGGUCCGAGGAUGAAAGGCGCUCCGGCGUCGCCUGGGGAUGGCUUUGCGGUGCAUUAGCUAGUUGGUGGGGUAACGGCCCACCAAGGCGACGAUGCAUAGCCGACCUGAGAGGAUGAUCGGCCACACUGGGACUGAGACACGGCCCAGACUCCUACGGGAGGCAGCAGUAGGGAAUCUUCCACAAUGGACGAAAGUCUGAUGGAGCAACGCCGCGUGAACGAUGAAGGCCCUCGGGUCGUAAAGUUCUGUUGUAAGGGAAGAACAAGUGCCGCAGGCAAUGGCGGCACCUUGACGGUACCUUGCGAGAAAGCCACGGCUAACUACGUG